AACGAACGCUGGCGGCAUGCCUAACACAUGCAAGUCGAACGAGACCUUCGGGUCUAGUGGCGCACGGGUGCGUAACGCGUGGGAACCUGCCCUUAGGUUCGGAAUAACUCCCCGAAAGGGGUGCUAAUACCGGAUAAUGUCUUCGGACCAAAGAUUUAUCGCCUUUGGAUGGGCCCGCGUUGGAUUAGCUAGUUGGUAGGGUAAAAGCCUACCAAGGCGACGAUCCAUAGCUGGUCUGUGAGGAUGAUCAGCCACACUGGGACUGAGACACGGCCCAGACUCCUACGGGAGGCAGCAGUGGGGAAUAUUGGACAAUGGGCGAAAGCCUGAUCAAGCAAUGCCGCGUGAGUGAUGAAGGCCUUAGGGUUGUAAAGCUCUUUUAGCCGGGAUGAUAAUGACAGUACCGGGAGAAUAAGCACCGGCUAACUCCGUG
rnacentral:rRNA from 1 species